UGGAGGAUUGAGAAGGUUUAACAGAUUGCUACUGUGCUGUUUAAACUGGUUAAUAACCUCCCAAAUCAAGCGGACAUUGGCAACAACUGGCUCUGAGAUGUACCUGAGAACUAAAUGUUGUCUUUGCCCACAAAAU
ensembl:snoRNA small nucleolar RNA SNORA47